CCUACGGGUGGCAGCAGUGAGGAAUAUUGGUCAAUGGACGAGAGUCUGAACCAGCCAAGUAGCGUGAAGGAUGACUGCCCUAUGGGUUGUAAACUUCUUUUAUAAAGGAAUAAAACGAGGCACGUGUGCCUUUUUGCGUGUACUUUAUGAAUAAGGAUCGGCUAACUCCGUGCCAGCAGCCGCGGUAAUACGGAGGAUCCGAGCGUUAUCCGGAUUUAUUGGGUUUAAAGGGAGCGUAGAUGGGUUGUUAAGUCAGUGGUGAAAGUUUGCGGCUCAACCGUAAAAUUGCAAUUGAUACUGGCAGUCGUGAGUACAGUUGAGGUAAGCGGAAUUCGUGGUGUAGCGGUGAAAUGCUUAGAUAUCACGAAGAACCCCGAUUGCGAAGGCAGCUUACUAAACUGUGACUGACAUUGAUGCUCGAAAGUGUGGGUAUCAAACAGGAUUAGAUACCCUUGUAGUC
rnacentral:rRNA from 1 species